rnacentral:lncRNA from 1 species
GAAAAGUGAGGAAAGAAAAAUUGAAAGGGAAGAGAAAAAUAAGAGUGAAGAGGGAGAAGAGAAGGAAAAAACUGAGAGGGUAUAGGAAGAAAAGAAGAAAAAGGAAAAAGAAAAUGAAAAAAAAAAGUGUUCCAAUUGUAGAUUUACCUUAUCCACAUGCUCCCUCCAGAAAGAAUAUAGAAGGAUAGUUUAUUAGAUUCUGUGAAAUUCUGAAACAAUU